GUGCCGUGAUGCAUUUUUCCAACACAUCAUUCUGAAACCUAAAGUGUGGCGGCUUUUUGACUGAGCACA